rnacentral:tRNA from 2 species
GGGGGUAUAGCUCAGUUGGUAGAGCGCUACAAUGGCAUUGUAGAGGCCAUCGGUUCGAAUCCGUUUACCUCCA